rnacentral:lncRNA from 1 species
UUAUAUUCGUUAUGUAUUUGUUUACCAAUAUAUUUGCAAACGCUAUCCAACACUUAGACAAAUAAAAACCGAAAGUUUAGUUUCCGGACUUAGUACCACAAUCCCAAAGAAUGUCUUAUAAAGAUUGCAUAUGUAUCUAAGUAGUCUCAUCCUCACAAUCUUCCUAAUGAUAAUGUAUCAUUGGAAGAACAUGUUAGAAAAAGUCUAUCAUGAAGAGGACAACACAAACAACCAAUGCUUAAUCCUUUGUUAAAUGAACAAAGGAACUUACGAAGAUUAGCAUAAUGACAAGGACACUUUUAGUGUUAUUAGUUCUUCACUUACAAAUCGUUGUAUGAAGAAAUAAUAGUUGCUUUGAACAACCCUUAGUCAAUGCAAACACUAGUGCUUGUUUCUUUGUUAAAUGAACAAAGAACUUGAGAAGAGAGCACAAAGGCAUGGACACUUAAUGUGCCAUGAUUCUUCACUUACAAAUUGUUGUAUGAAGAAAUGAGAGUUGCCUUGUACAACUCUUGAAGGUUUGUAAUUAUGUUUAGAACAUAAUGGUUGGUUGACAAAAAUAGUCCAUCAACAUGGACUUAUGAUGAUUUUGAAUCAUUGAGUGUUGAAGUGAUAAACCACUUAACGAGACGGAAACUAGGCAAGGACUUCACCUUUGUGUCCCUAUCCAAAUGGUUCACUAAGUUUAUUGUAAACUAUGUAGUGAACAAUAACCACACACUCUCCAAAUUGUUUGAUGUGUAUAACACAAUUGAAAUAAGUUUCAAGAGAGAUAG